AACACAUGCAAGUCGAGGGGCAGCAUGGUCUUAGCUUGCUAAGGCUGAUGGCGACCGGCGCACGGGUGAGUAACACGUAUCCAACCUGCCGUCUACUCUUGGCCAGCCUUCUGAAAGGAAGAUUAAUCCAGGAUGGGAUCAUGAGUUCACAUGUCCGCAUGAUUAAAGGUAUUUUCCGGUAGACGAUGGGGAUGCGUUCCAUUAGAUAGUAGGCGGGGUAACGGCCCACCUAGUCAACGAUGGAUAGGGGUUCUGAGAGGAAGGUCCCCCACAUUGGAACUGAGACACGGUCCAAACUCCUACGGGAGGCAGCAGUGAGGAAUAUUGGUCAAUGGGCGAUGGCCUGAACCAGCCAAGUAGCGUGAAGGAUGACUGCCCUAUGGGUUGUAAACUUCUUUUAUAAAGGAAUAAAGUCGGGUAUGCAUACCCGUUUGCAUGUACUUUAUGAAUAAGGAUCGGCUAACUCCGUGCCAGCAGCCGCGGUAAUACGGAGGAUCCGAGCGUUAUCCGGACUUAUUGGGUUUAAAGGGAGCGUAGAUGGAUGUUUAAGUCAGUUGUGAAAGUUUGCGGCUCAACCGUAAAAUUGCAGUUGAUACUGGAUGUCUUGAGUGCAGUUGAGGCAGGCGGAAUUCGUGGCGUAGCGGUGAAAUGCUUAGAUAUCACGAAGAACUCCGAUUGCGAAGGCAGCCUGCUAAGCUGCAACUGACAUUGAGGCUC
rnacentral:rRNA from 1 species